AUUCCACGCAUAAGACAUUUCCACAACAAUUCCUUAAAUCUUUCUCAUGUUUCAUACAAGCUUUCAUCAUCCAUUUGCUUAAAUGAAGUUAAAUAAUUUUCAAGUUU